GACGAACGCUGGCGGCGUGCUUAACACAUGCAAGUCGAACGGUAAGGCCCGUGCUUGGGUAGAUGGGUGAGUGGCGAACGGGUGAGAAAUGAGUGAGCUACCUGCAACUGACGGAGAGCUAAAGGCAACAAACGGCGAUACAUGCUGGGUACGCGUUCCGCAUGCAUGUUGUGGGACAGGAAAGAAGGUUGGUGAGGGAUGAGCUGGCGGCCUAUCUGCUUGUUGGUGAGGUAUCGGCUAACCAGGGCGUCGACGGGCAGCCGGCCUGAGAGGGUGACCGGCCACAUGGGGACUGGAACACGGCCCAGACUCCUCCGGGAGGCAGCAGUGGGAAAUAUUGCACAAUGGGCGAAAGCCUAAUGCAGCAACGCCGCGUGGGGGACGACGGCCUUCGGUUUGUAAACCUCUUUUGCCGGGGAGGAAGCGUAAGUGACGGUACCUGCAGAAGAAGCACCGGCUAACUACGUG
rnacentral:rRNA from 1 species